CGCCUCUUGAUAAUAAUAAGAGGUCUCGCCUGCCCAGUGAUAAAUUAACGGCCGCGGUACCCUAACCGUGCAAAGGUAGCAUAAUCACUUGUUCUCUAAAUAAGGACUAGUAUCAACGGCAUCACGAGGGUUACACUGUCUCUCCCAUCCAAUCAGUGAAACUGAUCUCCCCGUGAAAAAGCGGGGCUAAAACUAUAAGACGAGAAGACCCCAUGGAGCUUUAAACCAACAGCAAUUUAGUAAAAAACUCCCUCACAACUAUAAAAAUUAUGCUAACGGCUUUAGGUUGGGGUGACCGCGGAGUAAAACUUAACCUCCAUAUCGAAAAGAUUAAUCUUUACCUAAGAACCACCACUCUAAGAAUUAGAACACUAACGAACCAUGACCCGAUUAUCGAUCAACGAACCAAGUUACCCUGGGGAUAACAGCGCAAUCUACUUCAAGAGUCCUUAUCGACAAGUAGGCUUACGACCUCGAUGUUGGAUCAGGGUAUCCCAGUGGUGCAGCCGCUACUGAAGGUUCGUUUGUUCAACGAUUAAAACCCU
rnacentral:rRNA from 1 species